CCGCCCCCAGGUCACACGAUGUCAACAUCGACGCAUGUUCGUUCGCCAGGGCAGUCACCGUUCUCCAUCUUAGACGAAGCCGACAUUAGAAUAUAAAACAUGGAAACACGUUAGUGUAAUAUUGGAGGGCGAGACUCCCCAAAUAAAGACCUGCAGCAGCGGUCUCUAUCACUGCCCCUUCUGCACAUUUAAGGGCGCACAAAUGAUGCUUGAGUACCACAUUAAAGGCCAUGCUUCAGUGAGGCACAGAGAGUUCCCAAUCAUACAUCAUGGUCUGAGUUGCAGAAGUUCAACACACUUUCAUUGUUGCUAUUGCACACAAACCGUUAUAAACACACUUUGCGAAGCACUUAAAAGCACGUAAGCACCCAGUGGCCCCUCAAGUGCACACAGUAGAGACACAGACCACAUUCUGUAUUUUUUCUAGACAAUACUGAACACCAAUUGCAGAGCGAACUGGCACCUGGGAACUUGGUAUGCAUUCUAAUGUGUGUGAUGCUGAAGGCUUAAGGCAUAACAAGAUAAAAUAAUUGUGAUGACUUGUUGAGUACUUAUAGAUAUCACUGAAAACCGUCAGUAAUAGUUGCUUUUAUUUGCAUGCCUUCGUGGUUUUGGGAAAGUGCGAUGUCAUUUUUUUUCACUCAGAGCCACUAGUCUUACUCUUUAUUCUUACUUUUUCUUCAAUGAAAAAGCUGCUUUCCUGAGAGACACCAUCGAGGCAGCAUGGUGCCAAACCCAAUCGCCUAACAGCAGAGUUUCCCUCCAGGCGGUGAUUGGGAUGGACGGGGAAGACGAAAGGACAGCCUUAACAGAGCUGAGAUCAGAUGACAGCAGGGAUGAGGAAGAAACCCUUCUUCUAAUGGAACCCGUUCCUUUUCAGAUUCAAUUCCCAGAGUGAUUAUGAACAUUUCUGUGAGGAAUUAAUUGGCAGGAGAAACCUUAAAGUAUUUGCCUCUUUUGAGGAGUGCCAGUGAGGCCCUUUGCAUGCGUCAUCAUUAUUUUCUUUAUUAGGGCCCGAGUGAUUGAUUUAGUUGAUUAUUUGUAAUAAUAAUAAGUGAUUAUUUGUUUAAUUACUUUGCUGUGAUUAUUAUCUUUU